rnacentral:rRNA from 1 species
UACGUAGGGGGCAAGCGUUGUCCGGAUUCAUUGGGCGUAAAGAGCGUGUAGGCGGCCAGGUAGGUCGGUUGUGAAAACUGGAGGCUCAACCUUCAGAGGUCGACCGAAACCAUCUGGCUAGAGUCCGGGAGAGGCGAGUGGAAUUCCUGGUGUAGCGGUGAAAUGCGCAGAUAUCAGGAGGAACACCAAUUGCGAAGGCAGCUCGCUGGGACGUGACUGACGCUGAGACGCGAAAGCGUGGGGAGCAAACAGG